CAGCCAUAGAACUGGGCUCAGCUGGACCCUCUUAUCUCUGUUUAGGGUCUUCAUGUGGCGCUUUCAGCAUUAUGGUCAGAUUUUACAUGGUGGCUCAAGGCUGUAAGAGGCUAAGAAAUGGAAACUGCCAUUUUCUAGGGCAAGGGCUAGAAACCAGGCCUGGGUCAUUUUUAUUAUAUUCUAUUGGUCAUGAUAGUCACAGAGUCACCUCAGAGGAAAGGAGAGGAAUAGACCUCACCUCUCAUGAGAAGAGUAUCAGAGAAUUUGAGGCCAUCUUUAAUUUACCAGAGGGGUAAUGGUGGAUUUGAACCUAGGGAGUCUGUCUCCAGGGAUCAUGCUAACCACUACAGUAUAAGGCUUUCAUUGUACUCACCAUUCGAUCAACACAAACAGAGCUGUCUACAUUCAUUUUGGUUCAACUCAAAGGCAUUUUUCAGCUACAGAUUUAAUUAUCUGGGUACUUCCCUCCAUUUUGAGUCAGUGGCCACAGUCUGAGCUAGGAUUUGGACAUAAGGAUCAAGGAGGACCAUCUAAAAAUCAGUAUCUCCAGUUGGCUUCAAAAUGUGAACACACAGAUGCAAGUCCAGUCCUGCCUCGUGACUCAGAGAGGUGCUGUCCGUGCUGUGGCCUUCCCUAACACAGGUCAGUACAAGAGGCAUAACUGUGACCUCUCAGAGAGGCAUGAACACUGGCUGAUAGAUCUGACCCCAUGAACCUGUCUACAGAUCGAUUUGUUCUUAGCAUGCUCCCACGUUGCCUUGGUUACAGGUGAAAAGUUAACCCUCACUCUGACCACUCUCCAUGAAGCCAAGCAUCAUGGAGAACUCAUCAAGUUUCCCUUUCUUCGUUUCAAAGUUAAAUACACACAAGAGUUCUAAAGGACACUGAAUUUAGAAAUUCAUAUGGGUUUAAAGUACAGAGAAAUUUUCCCCAGCCCUCUGCACAGGCCCUCUGCCCACUCCCUCAUUGCUUCCCCUCCCCCACUCCACUCCCUCCCCAGUUUACACUGAAUUUUUUUAUUUCCUGAAACCUGACUUAGUGUGAUUAUGUAUUAUUCUUUUGUCUGUGCCUUUGCUUGGGUGUUUCCCCAACUGUUUAUUAUUAUUAUUAUUAUUAUUAUUACUAUUACUAUUUUCCCAAUCAUUUUACUUUUAAAAUACUCAGAAAAAUAUCAAAAACAAUAAUAAAAUAAAAGGUCUAUUGGGAGAACUAACUGAAUUAUGGUCUUGAGCAGUCCUGUGACGGAGGUGAUACCUUUCCCAAGAACUUUCUGUGUGAAGGUGCUGAUUAAAGAAUGCCCCGUUGCUAUGGUAAUACCCUGUUCAAUAGGAGGUUCUGUGCCAGCCAUAGAGCUAUCAGUCCUUGACCUUGAGGUUCAGACUCCAGCUGCCCAGGGGGUAGAAAGUUAUGAGUGCAAGCUGAUAAUCAUAAUUGGGCUGCUCAGACCUAUGACCUUGGUUCUGCUUGUUUGAAGAAACUUUCUCACAUAAUCGGCCUUCUUGGAAUUCUUGCCUUCUUGGAAACACCUUUCCUUGGCCCUGCUCCUGCUCUCAAUUACCACCCCACAUCUUGGUUUCCUUCUGUGACCAACCCCCUCUCUGCAGUUUCUGGCCCACUCUGAUUUGCUAACCUCUUGCCAUCUGGCUCCUAGCCUGGUUUCACUAUGAAAACCUCACCGGUGCCAUUAUGCAUUAGAGAAUUCAGUGGCCAUUCUUGAGGUUCCAUUCCUCUUUGACCUCUUUGAACUGUUUCAUGGUUUCUGAGACCUAUCUCUGGGCAGCUGGAAUUACCAUGGGCUCUCCAUGGGAGGACUUUGGACAUCAACAUUCUGAAGCUUGCUCUGGCACUUUUGGGGCUAUAUUUGUUUUUCAAACUUAUUUCUGAUCAAAAUCUUUAAUCUUAACUCUGACCUAGAAGUGGAAACAGGACACUCCUUCAAGAUGGUGACUAUCUCUCUGGAGAGGUAAAGUUCUUAACUGCUCCUAGGAUAGUGCAUUCCUUUAAUCAAGGCACCAUAAAUACUAUCUGAUAGCAGUGAUGAUGAAGAUGGUGACUGUCAAUUGCAUACCACUGUACAGCUGGACUGCAGAAAACACAAGAUACCAUUUAUCUGACCCUGAACCCUUAGUUUUGAUUGCUUUUUGGAUUAACCUUGCAUCUAAUUACCUAAGCUUCUGAGGCUGGAAUUUCCAUGGUCUUGUGAUUCUAAUGUCAUUUUGAAUGUAUUUUAAAAUUCAAGUUAACACAAAAAUAACUAAUCAGUGGUAGAGUGCUUACCUAGCAUGUAUGAGGUCUGGCGUUCCCCAGCACUGGAAAAAAAAAAUUCAGUUGAUCAGGAAUCUUAAAAUCAAAAUGUUCAGGUUUCCACAUUGUCUUCCUCACCUAGGAUGCUUCCCUACCUCAAGUUCAACCUGUAUUCUAUAGAUCAGUUACAUAUUGACGUGUAAUUGUGACUUAGAGUGUAGCAAAAAUGAUUCAAGAAGAAAAAUCACAUGACAGUGUCUAUGUACCUUUGUUUAGGCUAGGCUUAGUUACUCUGCUUUUAGCAUCUGUACUUGGUUGAAGUGCUUAUGUAGGAAUGUCAGCACAGGCUGCUCAGAGCCCAGGCACAAAAUAUCAAAAUUAUUUUUAUGAAGAUCAGUGGUUAUAUUAAAACUUUUGCCAUUAUACCUCAGAAAACCACUCACUCACAAUUGAAUCAAGAGCCAUUUAGGUGUGCAGAUGUAAGUGGCAGAAUGAGGUUUGUGGGGGUACAGAAGGAAAGCUGAUGAGGAAAGAUUCUUCUUCUUGAUUCAAGCACAGUGGUCCUUAUCAUCAGAAAAAAAAAUGAAGAUCUGAAAAAGACAUACUAUGGAACACAUUCUGGUAAAAAAAAAAAACAAAAAAAAACAAUUGUGUUUUAGACCGAAGAGGUGCAUGGAAACUUCGGCUAAAGUCCUCCUACCAGGUGACAAGCGCCAAGUGGGCAUGAUCUGAUAGUCACCGAGGCCUUCCUCUGCUCACCAGGGCACGUCUAACAUUCACUUACUGUCCAUUAGGCUCCUGGUGGCCUUCAAGAGCUCCUGCGAGCCCCAUGGUGCAUCCACCAGCUUUGGAGCAAGUGAAGAGGAGAAAUAAAAAGGUCCAUGGAGCCCCUGGCUGAGGGAUUCAUCCUCUGAAGUUUCAGCUCUGUUUUUGUAGAGACUCCUGGCCAUGAUGGCAAAUGAAGUUAUCUUCUGGAGGCCCAUGACACGUGUGUGCCUUUGAGGCCAGCCUGCCUUUAGUUCUUUGAGAGAUCUUGCUAGGGGAGAAUGGGAAGUGUUCCUGAGUCUAAGUGUUGGCUUUACCAAUGAAUAACUGUGGUCCUUUAGAAAGUGGGUGGCCUACGGAGCCUCAGUCACUUCAUCCCAGAUGUAGAAUAGUGAGCCAGCCAGGGUUGGCCAAGCAUGCAACAGUCAAGUGCCUUGGUUACAUAUGUUAGGAUCCACAAAACUGUAUUUACUUUACAGGAUGCAAUGCAGGCGUUUGGCAUCCUACCAGACCAAACACAGAUUUCCCUUCAAAUGAAUGGAUUUUGUCAGACGUUUCGAAUAGUUUAGACAAAAACCCAGUGUGACCUACUGAGACCCCUGAGCCCCAGCCAGAGCCACCACAAGCCAGAGUAUGAUGUGACCAUCUUUUAGUCUUCACUGUUCAUGUCUCUCAACCCUGUCGGCAAGGUGAUCUAGCCAGCUAGAGGUUGUUGUAGCCAUUUUUCUAAUAGAUGAAGAAAAUGAGGCCCCAGAAGUAAAGAGAGCUCAAGAGUUCACAUGGCCAGCAAGUGACAGGCCCAGAGUGAGCAUGACAUCCUCCUACUCCUGGGCUGGGAAGGGCAGAGUGUCCACAGGAGAAAGCCUUCUAGCAUGUGACACCAGCCACUGCUCUCAACUCCUGUGCACAAGUCUCCUGCACCCUCACCACCUUCUUUCCCUUCCCUCCCUGGUCAGGGAAAGGCAAAUUGAAGAAGUACCUGUGAGGGACUUGAUUCGUAUGCACAUUAAAUGGAAAACAUCAGGAUCAAAGAUUCUGUUUUUCUUCUUCUACAUCAGCUAGCAAGUGCUGUGUGAAAAACAUGUCAAACAUGACCCUCACCUUCUCGGAGCUAAGACUCUGGGGAAAUGGCAGACUGUGGCUGACUUGCUGGACCUGAACUUGGCAGCCCACACAUUAGCUCAUUACCUCCACACCACUCAUCUGGAUUGUGUCAAUCAGAGCAGCCAAUUUGGCUUACAGAGACUGCCUUUAAAUGCCAAGAAUACACUGAGAAAAAUUAUGUCUUCACUUUUUACUUUUUCUUUACUAUUAGAUCAUCAUGCCUCUUAAAAUCACUUCUGUGUUCUAAAACUGUUGCCUGUUUGCAGUCGCACCAUACAUUGCAGGUGGGACUGCAAAUUGGUGCGACCACUCUGGAAAGCAAAAUCAAGAUCCCUCUGAAAACUUGGAAUGGAGCCACCAUUUGACCCAGCUAUCCCAUUCCUUGGUUUAUACCCAAAGGCCUUAAAAUCAGCAUACUACAGGGAUGCAGCCACAUCAAUGUUUAUAACAGUUCAAUUCACAACAGCCAAACUAUGGAACUAACCUAGAUGUACUUCAGCAGGUGAAUGGAUAAAGAAAAUGUAGUAAAUACACACAACGGAAUAUUACUCAGCCUUAAAGAACAAUAAAAUUAUGGCAUUUGCCUGUAAAUGGAUGGUACUGGACACUAUCAUGCCAACUGAAAAGGCAGAAUAUUCUCUCUGAUAUGUGGAUGCUAACCCACAGCAAGGGAAAAGACUAGAAGUUCCUUGGACUAGACAGAGAAUGAAGGGAAGGGAGGGGGAUUGAACAUAGAAAAGACAGAAGAAUGGAUUCCACAUAACUUUCCUAUCCUUAUAUAUGAACACACAACCAGUGUACCUCCACGUCACAUAUAACCAAAAUAAUGGGAACAAAAGUUAUACUUAUUUUGUGUAUGUAUAUAUAAUAUGUCAAAAUACACUCUACUAUCAUGUUUAUCUAGAAAGAACAACAAAAACAAAAAACUAUCUCUAGAUCUUUAUCAGCAAAGGUGACAUUGAAAUCCACCAGAUUAAAGCACUAGCCUUUUUAAAAAUUUUUAUUUUCUUCCUUCCUUCCUCCAUUCCUUUCUUAAAAAAAAAAAAAGAAAAAAAAAAGGCAGAUGGCAGGAUCUGAUGCCUAGGGUUUUGCUUCAGAAUCACCAUUGGUGUGGAUGGGUGCAGGUACACAGUGCUAGUGGCCAAAGAAGCCUGUGAUGGCUGCGAUGAAGAAGAUACAUAUCAUAGGUAUGUAUAUGUAUAUAUAUUGUAAAAUGAUCAUUUAAUGUGUAUAAAAUUAUAGAAAUGACCAUCUAAUGUAUAUAAGAUAUAUUCUGUGCUAAAGAAGAUACAUAUUAUAUAUAAGUAAUGGAUAGGACUACUUUAUGCUCUGGAAUCAGACACUGACCGAGCUGGAACAUCAGCUGGGCAAACUGGUUAUGUUCUAGAGGAGGUGAGGAGCCUGGGGAGAUGGGGCCCAAGGCCUUGGAUUCCAGCCUUCUGAAUUCAUGCCUGUUUCCCCAGGGUCACAUGAGACUCUAUUCCUUAAUCUCUCCCAGAUCAUAUAUCAAAAUUUUACAAUCACCCAAAGUUUGAGAACUAUUUUUAAACCACAGAGUUCUCUUAGACCUCCAUAGAAAUGCAGAUCAAGGGGAAAAUGCCUGAUUUAUUUAGGUCAUCAUGGAAAAAAACGUAUUCACAUUUGAAACAUGGUAAACAAAAAGUGCAAAAUGUAAAACAGCUGCAUGUGCUCCAUAUGCCAUGGACAUAAUUAAUAUGUUUUAAAAAUGUGAUUACUUGUACCUUUCUCUGAUCAAAUCUCUCUGUCCCUCCCCCUCCCCCCCCCCCACACACAUACACACCAUCCUCCACAUGGCAUUUGAGAAGUCUCUCUUGACUCUGAAAGCAAACGACACACACUUUUCUUUCUCCCGGCACUGCCUUCCUUCUUCAUAAUCUUUUUAUUUGCUGGUGAUUCCCUUGUCCUUCUUAUUUAUUCAUUCAACAGAUAUUUUGUUGAGUGCCAGUUCUGUGGCCUGCAGUGCUGGGUAUGCAGGCUUGGUCUGUUCAUGCCUUCGUGGGGCUGAAUUGGAGAACGCAGACAGAGGCAAAGAAAAUCAACUAAAAUGGAGAUAAAAAACCAAUAGUGGAACCGGAGGGGACAGGAAGAUAGAGAACAAUGAAGGAGGCGUUGCUGAGGGCAGGACUGGCAUUGCCAGUGCUCAGGGAUGGUCACCAUGAACCUGGGGGUGAGAGGGGAGCCUCACUCUCUCAGGGCAGGGGAGACAUCAAGGCAAAGGCCCUCAGGUGGGAAAGCCUCACCCCAGAGGCAGUGGGGCAAGGGGGAAGGCAGAGCUGGCAGGUUGCUGAGAAGGCAAAGGGCCUGGUGCUGGAACACACAGGAAGGUCAGAAACCUUCUGUUUAUGUUCACGUUCAGUGGGAGGCUCAUAGGAGCAGAAUCGGGUAAUAUUUAGCUUUGGUGUCAGGUUUAUGUCAACCAGCAUGUUUUCAAGGUUCAUUCAUGUUGCACUGUAGGCCAGAAUGUCCUUCCUUUUAAAGGGGCCUACACUCCAAAACAACUAAGUUCAGGAAGGUGGAAGGGCUGUCCUUGGGUGAGCAACAACAGGCAGGCGAAGGCACUGGCUCAAAGCCUCCUUCUGUGAAGGCUAUGCUCACUCUGGCAGGGCUGGGCAGCCCAACACAGCUCCACUUUUGUCCAGGGUCCCCUCAGGUCAGGUCCUCCCAGCAUGACUCCCACUCGCCUCCACUCUGGCAAUGCGCCCUCUAUUUCAAUAUCCAUCACCACCCCCACCCUCCCACUUCCCAUAGGUCCACCCUACAGCUCUCUGCCUGGGCUGGCUUACUCUGUUCUGUUUUGGUCUCUAAUCUGCUCUGGGUGAUCAGCUUCUUGACUUCUCUGGCCCUGGAUAUUCAAAGUCAAGUUUAAGUCUUCUUUUGAUGGUAAAUUUGAAAACUCCACUUAGGAUCUCUUUAACUUCCUGUGGAUAAAUCUGGUUCCUUUUUACUAAUGCGGAGAAUGAUGAGGGUGGGGAUGGGACUUGAUGGCCUGCCUGCCACAGGCGCUCUUUGCAGGCAUGCCUUGAUACAGAAGGAGAGGUCAUUCUUUGUGUCAUUGUUUCUGUGUUGACAACUCAGGGCUGGAUGUAGUCUAAAUCAGUUAUGAGCAUCCUGAGAUACUUCCCAACAUAG
rnacentral:lncRNA from 1 species